AGCUCUACCUUAGUUUUCUUAUUACACCAAACAAAAUACUAGACUUAAGAGCUAUUCAAAUAAGGUACAGCUUAUUUGAAAAAGGCUACAACCUACAAUACUGGGUUAAUAUUGAUUUAUCAACAAAGUGGGCCUAAGAGCAGCCAUCUUAUAGAAAGCGUUAAAGCUCAACUAUCUCCUCUCCUAAAUUCCAAAAAUUAUCUUCAACCCUUCAUUAUUACUGAACUAUUUUAUAUAUUUAUAAAAGUUAUCAUGCUAGAACUAGUAACAAGAAUUAGCCCUUCUCCAAAAUGUACACUUAAGCCAAAAUGGACACCCCAUUGGCAGUUACCGCAAAUGCACCUAUUAUAGUACCUCCCAACUAGACAACUCUAUAACUCUUAGCGUUAACCUGACACCAGAGCAUUACAGGAAAGAUUAAAAGAGAAAGAAGGAACUCGGCAAAUCUCGGUCCCGCCUGUUUACCAAAAACAUCGCCUCUUGACCAAAUAUAAGAGGUCCAGCCUGCCCACUGACAUAGUUUAACGGCCGCGGUACCCUAACCGUGCGAAGGUAGCAUAAUCACUUGUUCUUUAAAUAAGGACUCGUAUCAACGGCAUCACGAGGACUAUACUGUCUCCUUUCUCCAAUCAGUGAAACUGAUCUCCCCGUGAAGAAGCGGGGAUUAACCUAUAAGACGAGAAGACCCCAUGGAGCUUAAAGCCCACAAACACCUCUACGCACUUAAACCAAUUUAGCCUAAGAGACCUGUAAGCCGGCUUUAGGUUGGGGGGACCGCGGAGAAAAACCUAACCUCCACGACAAACGGGCAAACGCCCUUAUCCAUGAAUUACAAUUCUAAGAAUCAAUAAACUGAUGUUUAAUGACCCGAUUAUUCGAUCAACGAACCAAGUUACCCUGGGGAUAACAGCGCAAUCUACUUUAAGAGCUCAUAUCGACAAGUAGGUUUACGACCUCGAUGUUGGAUCAGGGUAUCCCAGUGGUGUAGCCGCUACUAAAGGUUCGUUUGUUCAACGAUUAAAACCCUACGUGAU
rnacentral:rRNA from 1 species